rnacentral:rRNA from 1 species
GAGCUUGCUCCUCUGAUCAGUGGCGAACGGGUGAGUAACACGUGAGCAACCUGCCCCAGACUCUGGGAUAACAGUUGGAAACAGCUGCUAAUACCGGAUACGAGACGGAGAGGCAUCUCUACCGUCUGGAAAGUUUUUCGGUCUGGGAUGGACUCGCGGCCUAUCAGCUAGUUGGUGAGGUAAUGGCUCACCAAGGCGACGACGGGUAGCCGGCCUGAGAGGGCGACCGGCCACACUGGGACUGAGACACGGCCCAGACUCCUACGGGAGGCAGCAGUGGGGAAUAUUGCACAAUGGGCGAAAGCCUGAUGCAGCGACGCCGCGUGAGGGAUGACGGCCUUCGGGUUGUAAACCUCUUUCAGCAGGGAAGAAGCGAAAGUGACGGUACCUGCAGAAGAAGCACCGGCUAACUACGUGCCAGCAGCCGCGGUAAUACGUAGGGUGCGAGCGUUGUCCGGAAUUAUUGGGCGUAAAGAGCUUGUAGGCGGUUUGUCGCGUCUGCAGUGAAAAUCCGAGGCUCAACCUCGGACUUGCUGUGGGUACGGGCAGACUAGAGUAUGGUAGGGAAGACCGGAAUUCCUGGUGUAGCGGUGGAAUGCGCAGAUAUCAGGAGGAACACCGAUGGCGAAGGCAGGUCUCUGGGCCAUAACUGACGCUGAGAAGCGAAAGCAUGGGGAGCGAACAGGAUUAGAUACCCUGGUAGUCCAUGCCGUAAACGUUGGGCGCUAGGUGUGGGGCUCAUUCCACGAGCUCCGUGCCGCAGCUAACGCAUUAAGCGCCCCGCCUGGGGAGUACGGCCGCAAGGCUAAAACUCAAAGGAAUUGACGGGGGCCCGCACAAGCGGCGGA